GGUAAUGUGGCUUAGUGGUAGAGUGCUUGCCUAGCAUGCAUAAAGCCCUGGGUUCAAUUCACUAGUACCA
rnacentral:tRNA from 1 species